rnacentral:rRNA from 1 species
UUAUAUACCCUGGGAGUCCACGCUGUAAACGAUGAGUGCUGAAUGUGGGGGCUUUUGCCUCUGUGUUGUAGCUAACGCGUUAAGCACUCCGCCUGGGGACUACGGUCGCAAGACUAAAACUCAAAGGAAUUGACGGGGACCCGCACAAGCGGUGGAGCAUGUGGUUUAAUUCGAUGCAACGCGAAAAACCUUACCACUUCUUGACAUGGAGGCUAGAUCCUUCUUAACAGAAGGGCGCAGUUCGGCUGGGCCUCGCACAGGUGCUGCAUGGCUGUCGUCAGCUCGUGUCGUGAGAUGUUGGGUUAAGUCCCGCAACGAGCGCAACCCUCAUCCUUAGUUACCAGCGGGUAAUGCCGGGCACUUUAAGGAAACUGCCAGUGAUAAACUGGAGGAAGGUGGGGAUGAUGUCAAGUCAGCACGGCCCUUAUGGGGUGGGCUACACACGUGCUACAAUGGCGACUACAAUAGGUUGCAACGUCGCAAGGCUGAGCUAAUCCGUAAAAGUCGUCUCAGUUCGGAUUGUCCUCUGUAACUCGAGGGCAUGAAGUCGGAAUCGCUAGUAAUCGUGGAUCAGCAUGCCACGGUGAAUACGUUCUCGGGUCUUGACCACACUGCAAA